rnacentral:rRNA from 1 species
CAGGGGAGCGGCAGACGGGUGAGUAACGCGUGGGAAUCUACCCAGCUCUACGGAAUAACUCAGGGAAACUUGUGCUAAUACCGUAUACGUCCGAUAGGAGAAAGAUUUAUCGGAGUUGGAUGAGCCCGCGUUGGAUUAGCUAGUUGGUGGGGUAAAGGCCUACCAAGGCGACGAUCCAUAGCUGGUCUGAGAGGAUGAUCAGCCACACUGGGACUGAGACACGGCCCAGACUCCUACGGGAGGCAGCAGUGGGGAAUAUUGGACAAUGGGCGCAAGCCUGAUCCAGCCAUGCCGCGUGAGUGAUGAAGGCCCUAGGGUUGUAAAGCUCUUUCACCGGUGAAGAUAAUGACGGUAACCGGAGAAGAAGCCCCGGCUAACUUCGUGCCAGCAGCCGCGGUAAUACGAAGGGGGCUAGCGUUGUUCGGAAAUUACUGGGCGUAAAGCGCACGUAGGCGGAUUGUUAAAUUAGGGGUGAAAUCCCAGGGCUCAACCCUGGAACUGCCUUUAAUACUGGCAAUCUANAGUCCGAGAGAGGUGAGUGGAAUUCCAAGUGUAAAGGUGAAUUUCGUAGAUAUUCGGANGAACACCAGUGGCGAAGGCGGCUCACUGGCUCGUUACUGACGCUGAGGUGCAA